UUAAGUGAAUAAGGGCGCACGGUGGAUGCCUUGGCACUAGGAGCCGAUGAAGGACGGGACUAACACCGAUAUGCUUUGGGGAGCUGUAAGUAAGCUAUGAUCCAGAGAUUUCCGAAUGGGGGAACCCAAUAUCUUUUAUAGGAUAUUACUUUUCAGUGAAUACAUAGCUGAUUAGAGGUAGACGCAGAGAACUGAAACAUCUUAGUACCUGCAGGAAGAGAAAGAAAAUUCGAUUCCCUGAGUAGCGGCGAGCGAAACGGGAAGAGCCCAAACCAACAAGCUUGCUUGUUGGGGUUGUAGGACUCCAAUAUGGUAGUCUGUUAGUAUAGUUGAAGGAUUUGGAAAAUUCCGCUAAAGAGGGUGAAAGCCCCGUAGACGAAAUGCUGACAACACCUAGGAGGAUCCUGAGUACGGCGGAACACGAGAAAUUCCGUCGGAAUCCGCGGGGACCAUCCCGCAAGGCUAAAUACUCCCUAGUGACCGAUAGUGAACCAGUACCGUGAGGGAAAGGUGAAAAGCACCCCGGAAGGGGAGUGAAAUAGAUCCUGAAACCGUGUGCCUACAACAAGUCAAAGCUCGUUAAUGAGUGAUGGCGUGCCUUUUGUAGAAUGAACCGGCGAGUUACGAUUGCAUGCGAGGUUAAGUCGAAGAGACGGAGCCGCAGCGAAAGCGAGUCUGAAUAGGGCGAAUGAGUAUGUAGUCGUAGACCCGAAACCAUGUGAUCUACCCAUGUCCAGGUUGAAGGUGCGGUAAAACGCACUGGAGGACCGAACCCACGUACGUUGAAAAGUGCGGGGAUGAGGUGUGGGUAGCGGAGAAAUUCCAAACGAACUUGGAGAUAGCUGGUUCUCUCCGAAAUAGCUUUAGGGCUAGCCUCGGAAUUGAGAAUGAUGGAGGUAGAGCACUGUUUGGACUAGGGGCCCAUCUCGGGUUACCGAAUUCAGAUAAACUCCGAAUGCCAUUCAUUUAUAUCCGGGAGUCAGACUGCGAGUGAUAAGAUCCGUAGUCGAAAGGGAAACAGCCCAGACCACCAGCUAAGGUCCCAAAAUAUAUGUUAAGUGGAAAAGGAUGUGGGGUUGCACAGACAACUAGGAUGUUGGCUUAGAAGCAGCCACCAUUUAAAGAGUGCGUAAUAGCUCACUAGUCGAGUGACCCUGCGCCGAAAAUGUACCGGGGCUAAACAUAUUACCGAAGCUGUGGACUACACCAUUAGGUGUAGUGGUAGGAGAGCGUUCUAAGGGCGUUGAAGGUCGAUCGUGAGGACGGCUGGAGCGCUUAGAAGUGAGAAUGCCGGUAUGAGUAGCGAAAGACAGGUGAGAAUCCUGUCCACCGUAUGACUAAGGUUUCCUGGGGAAGGCUCGUCCGCCCAGGGUUAGUCGGGACCUAAGCCGAGGCCGAUAGGCGUAGGCGAUGGACAACAGGUUGAUAUUCCUGUACCAGUUGUUUUUGUUUGAGCAAUGGAGGGACGCAGUAGGCUAAGGAAUGCAUGCGAUUGGAAGUGCAUGUCCAAGCAAUGAGUCUUGAGUAGAGUUAAAUGCUUUACUCUUUAAGGACAAGUUGUGAUGGGGAGCGAAAUAAUAGUAGCGAAGUUCCUGAUGUCACACUGCCAAGAAAAGCUUCUAGUGAGAAAACAACUGCCCGUACCGUAAACCGACACAGGUAGUCGAGGAGAGUAUCCUAAGGUGAGCGAGCGAACUCUCGUUAAGGAACUCGGCAAAAUGACCCCGUAACUUCGGGAGAAGGGGUGCUGACUUCGGUCAGCCGCAGUGAAUAGGCCCAAGCGACUGUUUAUCAAAAACACAGGUCUCUGCAAAAUCGUAAGAUGAAGUAUAGGGGCUGACGCCUGCCCGGUGCUGGAAGGUUAAGAGGAUGGGUUAGCUUCGGCGAAGCUCAGAAUUGAAGCCCCAGUAAACGGCGGCCGUAACUAUAACGGUCCUAAGGUAGCGAAAUUCCUUGUCGGGUAAGUUCCGACC
rnacentral:rRNA from 1 species